rnacentral:piRNA from 1 species
UGCAAUGACUCUCAAUCUUUCCAGGGCAAGC